GCUGGGGGUGGAUGGGGGAGGUAGGGGGGUCCCCAGUCCCUCCUGUCUCCAGGGGAAGGAUGCUCCAUGUACCAUCCUGGUUUACAUAUGGCCACGUCUCUUGUUCUAUCCAGGAGUUGUAAGAUGUACUUCCGGGCUUUAGCAAGCACUCUAC